rnacentral:lncRNA from 1 species
CAGCUACUUCUCUCUGAGGACAAACUGCCUGGCAAACCAGCAGGGCCAGGCAAAUGAGGCCAAUUGGCAGCAAGGGCUGGGAUGGAGAUGUCAGAGAUUUAGAGGCUCUCAGGGUUGGAAGGGGGACCUCAAAUUUCAUCUAGGUCAAUGCUGUGUCCCCUUACCUGAGUCCUGUCUAUAAUAUCCCUCCCAAUAGUGGGCUAACCUCAGCUUGAAUGCUCCCGAUGAUGGAGCACUCAUUACCUCCUGGGACCACGAACUCAUCAAUGGGUGGUGCUGACUGUGCAAAAACCCUCCUUCAUUUUGAGCCUAAAUCUGUUUUCCAACAUGAAGAGAGAAGACCCCCGCAGUGGGUUCAUCCUUCUUCUGGCUCCAGCCCUCAGUGCUGCGAAGGAGCCGCAAGUCACUCUUCAUGAGGAAACAUGCCCGGUGUCUUGGGUGGGGGCAGAGGCACCACUGAUCCACAAAGAUGUGGUGUGAUUUUUUCCUCUCAGGGGACUUUGCUUGGGGGAGGGGCCACUGGGAAGAGCCAAGAAGCUGCUAGAAAAAAACUGAAGUCGUUCCUCCUUCUCAAGUGCGAAGUGAACCUGCAGCAGAACAUUAGAAACCCUGAUGCAGGCUAGCUCCGUCUGUGGGGACCGUUACAUGCUGGUUCUCUGUUGCCAGCUCCAGGGAGUCAGGGUCUAAUAGGAGCCACCCCAGGUAUUCCACUUAUAGUUAUAGCUCCAAGCAGGGGUCAUCAGCAGGGUGACUGGAACUCCCUGCGGUUCCAGAGAGCCACAGAUGCUCACCCAUGCUGGCUUUGGUAGGCAGGGAGCUCAGUAAGCCUCUCCGAGGCUCAGGAUUUUGCCAGUUUGGAAGAGCACUGGAUGAUUUGGAAGAGCACUGGAUUCCAAGCUUGGAAGAGCACUUGGAAGAGCACUGGAUUCCAAGCCAGCUUGGAAGAGCACACCUCCCAGGACCAAAUGUUGGACUGAAGCACUGGUGCAAAACAUAAAGACAAACAUUUCUCCUUAAGUAUUGAUCUUUUUAGCCUACGAGCUUCGGCGACAGGUGUCUUGCUGGUUAACCUAUUUCCAUCUCAUUACUUUGGCUUCUGCAAAUACAAUGCCGGGAAAGAUUAAAUACUGUAAGCUGUAUCCAGUCAGCUCUCCAUUAUCUGCAUUAAUCGAGGCCAGUACUGAGUGGGAUAAUCCACAGAAGUGCCUAGUCCCCAGAUCAUAUUUAAUUGAUUUGGGGUGGCAGUUGAUGGUGAGUGUGUGUACAUGUGUGCACACACACACACAUAUGCUUUUGGUGAGGGUGAGGAUCGAACUUACUCAUCUUUGAUGUGGCAUCAGGAUCCCAUUUUGGAGGCAGUCUCAUUUGGGGGCACACCAAGGGAAUCCCAGAAGCCUGCUAGAGGAGACAACAGGGCUUCUAGUCUCCCGACUUUUUGUAGGGAAGAAGAGGCAAAGUGAGAGUCCAGGUGUCCUCUGAGGGUGAGGGGGGCAGGUCCUGGUGGCAUUCUCCCUGCAGCAUGCCUCCCACCUGGAGCAGGUCAGGCGAUUUCCGGGUGAGCUACACAAACCCACUCAUUUGUUCUCUCUUUUGGCCGGGCGCAGUGGCUCAUGCCUAUAAUCCCAGCACUUUGGGAGGUCAAGGCGGCAAGAUCGCAUGAGGCCAGGAGUUCAAGACCAGCCUGAGCAACAUAGUGGUACCCUGUCUCUACAAAAAAUUUUAAAACUAGCCAGGCAUGGUGAUGCAUGUGUGUGGUCCUAGCUCCUUGGGAGGCUGAGGUGGGAGGAUUGCUUGGGCCCAGGAGUUUGAAGGCUGCAGUGAGCUAUGAUCACGCCUCUGUAUUCCAGCCUGAGCAAGGGAGUGAGACGCUGUCUGUAAAAAAUAAAAUAAAAUUAAAUAAAUUUAAAAACACACAAACCC